GCACAAGAGAGCUUGCUCUCUGGGUGACGAGCGGCGGACGGGUGAGUAAUGUCUGGGAAACUGCCUGAUGGAGGGGGAUAACUACUGGAAACGGUAGCUAAUACCGCAUGAUGUCUUCGGACCAAAGUGGGGGACCUUCGGGCCUCACGCCAUCAGAUGUGCCCAGAUGGGAUUAGCUAGUAGGUGGGGUAAUGGCUCACCUAGGCGACGAUCUCUAGCUGGUCUGAGAGGAUGACCAGCCACACUGGAACUGAGACACGGUCCAGACUCCUACGGGAGGCAGCAGUGGGGAAUAUUGCACAAUGGGCGCAAGCCUGAUGCAGCCAUGCCGCGUGUAUGAAGAAGGCCUUCGGGUUGUAAAGUACUUUCAGCGAGGAGGAAGGCAUUGUGGUUAAUAACCRCAGUGAUUGACGUUACUCGCAGAAGAAGCACCGGCUAACUCCGUGCCAGCAGCCGCGGUAAUACGGAGGGUGCAAGCGUUAAUCGGAAUUACUGGGCGUAAAGCGCACGCAGGCGGUUGAUUAAGUCAGAUGUGAAAUCCCCGAGCUUAACUUGGGAACUGCAUUUGAAACUGGUCAGCUAGAGUCUUGUAGAGGGGGGUAGAAUUCCAGGUGUAGCGGUGAAAUGCGUAGAGAUCUGGAG
rnacentral:rRNA from 1 species